rnacentral:lncRNA from 1 species
GGAUAAGAAUGUCCUGAGCUUCAAAUCUCUUCCCUGAUAAAAAGAGGGCUGCUGCUCUCAAGGAACUUCAGUCAAGGGGAGUGGGGGAAGACAGUCCCACACACAGACAAAAAACUAGGGGGUGAAAGGCCAAUGAGUGGUGGGAAGGAAAGGGAAAGAAGCUUCCAGAAGGCUAGGGGUAAGAAUGCAGCAGUGAACAUGGUUCCUGCACUCAUGAAGCAAAUGUAUCCACUGUGGUACAAAAGAGACUGUAAAAAACAAACCCAAAUGGACAACAGAGUUCUGAACCAUCCUGUGACAAGUCUAGUUACCCUAAAGCUGUCAUGCAGGAGAGACCAUGUGGAGAGAAGGAGAGUUAGAGAGAGGAGGAGCCCCUGCUGUUUGAGUAUUCUCAGCCCAGACACCAGACAUGAGUGAGGAAGCAUUCAGACCCCAACUCCAGUUUAAAAACGCCACCACUCAACAGCCUGUUUUCUGAGCCUAUGACCACAUAUAUGCUGCAGAACCCUUUCAGGGUGUAUCUGAAACUACUUCUCUUAAAGGCAAGCUGUAACUGGUGCCAGAAAAGACAGAAGCUGAUUGAGGUCCCAGCUUGGUAACAGUUUGAAGAGUUGCAGGACUGGCUGGAUGAGUACUGGCUGCAGCAAAUCAGGCUGCCAGGAUUCUUUAUGGCUGUUUCUGCUUCCACUACAGCUGAGUCAGAAAGGUCGCUGCCCCGUGGUGGCACUAGACGCAGUGGACCUGG